AGCCCACGUCCCCUCCCUUUAACUCUUUGCUGGGCUGGGCGCUCCCUCCGGCGCAGCCUGCCUCGCAGCGGUCUCUCUGGCCUGCCCGCGCCUCGCAGGUCCUGGGCACCUUCCUCAAGUGGCAAAGCCUCUCUGAGCGCGGCCCGGUCCGCCGCCUCCUAAAGCUUCGGCCCUCUGGGACUGUGAGGAGGGAAAAAUCAGUUUCGGGGUCGGAAAGGGAAAUACCAAAAGAACUGGAGCGGGCCUUUCUCCGUUUCUCUUGGCACUUGGAGAACCUCUGGCAGAGAGCUGGCCACCCAGCGCGCGCACGGAGCAUUUCCCGAGGCUGAGGGCCGCAACACAUUUUCGCUGGCGGAUCUCUGGGUUCUUUUUCGCCUUUCAACUCUCAACUCCUAUAGGAAGAAAGACCUUUUGAGUGUAUAGGCGGCUCCACUCUCUCAGCCCCACCCACAACAACACUACUUUGAAGAGAACAAUCUGUUAGCUUCAGGAUAAAUCGGAUUGUGUACCCGGCUGAAGUGGACCGAACAGAACCAUGACUUAAGGCGGAGACAGUCUCGUUUUUAUCCAGUGUUGAAAUAAGGUCCUGGUUCAUCCCCCUCUAAUCCUACCUCCAAAGCACUACACCAGCAAAGCCUCAGUUGUCCAAUAAUAAAAUAAAAUAAAAUAAAAUAAAAUAAAAUAAAAUAAAAUAAAAUAAAAUAAAAUAAAAGCAAUUCAUGGUGAAAGGGAGAAUGCACUGGAAGACAAGAGGAAGGCCAAUGAAACAGUGUGUGGAGACUUUUUCCUAAGCUUAUUAAUGUCACAUAGGGAGGUCUCUGGAUGGGGCUGUGAGGGUUGGGGGAGGUAAAGAAUGGACCUUCUCAGAGGGGUAUUGCAUUGCACAGCCUCACCUUGGAGAAUAAGAAACUUUCUAAGGGACAACUUAGAGACAUGAAGAGGCAGACUUGCUGAGCUGGAUAAAAGUUUACAGGAAUGGGGAGCACUUUGUUUUUUUUGUAAGUGUACAUGGCAAUCUCAGUUUCCAUCUAUUCCUUGCCUAAGUAUUACAGUUGGUUCUUCAGGUGAUAAAUGAAUGAAUGUUUCCCAGGCUGGUCCUGGGAUAGCCAGAUUCUCAAAGGAUGAAUAAUAUUGUAGCCUGG